CCCUCCCGGUGCGCUUUAGUCCGGAAACAGCUUUGUUUGAACAUCUGAACCGGGAAAAUGUUUGACACUGAAAAUCACAAGCUAGGAUGAAUAUGACAACUGAGAGAGGAACCCCGCGUGUGCACCCACGAGGAAACGCGCCAGUUUGUGCAGAAACCAAAAGAAGACAGAGGACCAGCUAAGGGGAUUAUUAUUUUUGUCAAAGUCCAUCACCAGCAAGAUGAUGUGGAGAAGGUAGAGCGGCUCCCAAAAGUCUACCAGGCAACGACAGAUUGAGAAGAUGGUGUUUUCAAGUUUGAAGAAACUUUGGUUCAGUGGGGCGGAUAGUUGAAACCAGAGAGUUGUGGGUUUGAAUCUAGGCUCCUCAUCAGCCGCAUGCUGAACUCCACUUUACCCUGCACACGAUGCCAGUAUGUGAAACAAGCCUUGUGCCGUAUUGUGAGGAGGUGGAAGAGAAAGUAGUGCUGUCUGUGAGAAGAAGGUCAGAUGGAGGAAGGAGGUCAGAGGUGAAAAUAACAGAAAGGUGUUUCCCAUCAAAGGCCUGGCUGCAGCAGAGAGACGCAGCUGUUUGUCUCAUCAUAAAUACUGAAUGUCUAAUGAAGUUGGUAACAUAAUCUCAAGAUGCCUGUUUCUAAAAGUUUUGAAUGUUUUAACAAAAAGUUUGCAAUUUCUUUUUUGAAAUCUUUGUUUUGCAUUUUUUUUAGACUUUUAAGUAGAAAAGGCUGAACUGUUCAUCACUCUUUAAAAUAUGUUUUCACCUGCUCAUUUUAUUCGUAACUUCGAUCCAAUAAUGUACAUUCCUUGAAUACAUUCAAGUAAAAGUCGUGGUUUGUAUUUAAAUAGGCAGUUUUCAAAGGUUGGAAUAAUAUUUGCAAAUGUUUGUGCAGGAAUAAGUUACCCAAGUCUAUAGAUACAUCCUCCUGUUUAAUGCACAUUUAACUCUGAAAAUCAUUAUAUAUGAACACCUUUCUGCUAAAUUUAAUUAAUUAUUUUAGCAUGUACUUGAUAUAUAAAAAUAUUUAUUGAUAAAUUGCCAAUAAAUUCAGGUUUC